UGCCGCAGUCUUAAAGACCCUG
rnacentral:miRNA from 1 species